AUUGAACGCUGGCGGCAGGCCUAACACAUGCAAGUCGAGCGGAUGAAGGGAGCUUGCUUCUGGAUUCAGCGGCGGACGGGUGAGUAAUGCCUAGGAAUCUGCCUGGUAGUGGGGGACAACGUUUCGAAAGGAACGCUAAUACCGCAUACGUCCUACGGGAGAAAGCAGGGGACCUUCGGGCCUUGCGCUAUCAGAGGAGCCUAGGUCGGAUUAGCUAGUUGGUGAGGUAAUGGCUCACCAAGGCGACGAUCCGUAACUGGUCUGAGAGGAUGAUCAGUCACACUGGAACUGAGACACGGUCCAGACUCCUACGGGAGGCAGCAGUGGGGAAUAUUGGACAAUGGGCGAAAGCCUGAUCCAGCCAUGCCGCGUGUGUGAAGAAGGUCUUCGGAUUGUAAAGCACUUUAAGUUGGGAGGAAGGGUUGUAGAUUAAUACUCCGCAAUUUUGACGUUACCGACAGAAUAAGCACCGGCUAACUCUGUGCCAGCCGCCGCGGUAAAAC
rnacentral:rRNA from 1 species